CGGUAACCGGCUCGUCCACCGUGAGCGGGAGCUGCGCGGCGGCGGAACUCGAGGUGUUGCGGAACGCGCGCGACGCCCAUCCCGACGCCACGCGACCCACCUGCGCGACACAGAACAAGAAACCAGAAAGAGCAAUGCAAUUAAUGCAGAGUUGGGAUCAUCUGAGGUCCUAUAAAUAUAAAGCAGAUCACAUGAUGAAGAAUCUACAGCAGAACUUCUCAACCCUGGCUCUCCAGAUCCACUCUCCUGCAGUUUACCUCCAACCUUGAUCAAACUCACCUGCCAGGAACUUUCUAGCCAUCAUGAAGACCUUUAGCUUGUUCGGAUCUAAACUGGACCUCGAGGGCCAGGGUUGAGACGCCACACAGCCGAACCCUGAACCCGACCGCGAGCCAGUGCAGGAUUCACUCCAGAUCCUGGAGCCCAGUUUUGCACAUGUUGAAAUGUUUUUGUUGGUGUGCAUUUGUUUUGGAGACCUCAGCUAGGAGCACAUCGCAACUGCACAUAAAAAAUACAAAUAUA